ACAAUGGCAGGUACAGAGGGGUGCUACCGGGUGACCGGAUGCCGAUCUCGAAAACCUGUCCCAGUUCGGACUGGAGUCUGCAACCCGACUCCACGAAGUUGGAUUCGCUAGUAAUCGCGCAUCAGCCAUGGCGCGGUGAAUACGUUCCCGGGCCUUGUACACACCGCCCGUCAAGCCAUGGGAGCCGGGGGCGCCUGAAGUCCGGGACCGCGAGGACCGGCCUAGGGCGAAACUGGUGACUGGGGCUAAGUCGUAACAAGGUAUC
rnacentral:rRNA from 1 species